rnacentral:tRNA from 5 species
CGCGGGGUGGAGCAGUUCGGUAGCUCGUCGGGCUCAUAACCCGAAGGUCGCAGGUUCAAAUCCUGCCCCGCAACCA